rnacentral:rRNA from 1 species
AGCGAACGCUGGCGGCAGGCCUAACACAUGCAAGUCGAACGAAGUCUUCGGACUUAGUGGCGGACGGGUGAGUAACACGUGGGAACGUGCCUUUAGGUUCGGAAUAACUCAGGGAAACUUGUGCUAAUACCGAAUGUGCCCUUCGGGGGCAAGAUUUAUCGCCUUUAGAUCGGCCCGCGUCUGAUUAGCUAGUUGGUGUGGUAAAGGCGCCCCAAGGCUACGACCAGUAGCUGGUCUGAGAGGAUGACCCGCCACAUUGGGACUGAGACACGGCCCAGACUCCUACGGGAGGCAGCAGUGGGGAAUCUUGCGCAAUGGGCGAAAGCCUGACGCAGCCAUGCCGCGUGGAUGAUGAAGGUCUUAGGAUUGUAAAAUCCUUUCACCGGUGAAGAUAAUGACUGUAGCCGGAGAAGAAGCCCCGGCUAACUUCGUGCCAGCCGCCGCAGUAAAAC